rnacentral:rRNA from 1 species
UGUGGUUAAAAAGCUCGUAGUUGGAUCUCGGCGGACUGAGGGCGGUUUGCUUGCUAGUAUUACUGCCCUAUAGUCCGUAGUUUUGCCAGAGGUUUCGGGGUGCUCUUAAUCGAGUGUCCCGGGAUGCUGGCAGGUUUACUUUGAAAAAAUUAGAGUGCUCAAAGCAGGCUACUACGCCUGAAUAUUCGUGCAUGGAAUAAUAGAAUAGGAAGUCGUUUCUAUUUUGUUGGUUUUCGGAAAUCGACUUAAUGAUUAAUAGGGACAGUCGGGGGCAUUUGUAUUCAAACGACAGAGGUGAAAUUCUUGGACCGUUUGAAGACAAACUACUGCGAAAGCAUUUGCCAAGAAUGUUUUCAUUAAUCAAGAACGAAAGUUAAAGGUUCGAAGGCGAUUAGAUACCGCCCUAGUUUUAACCAUAAACGAUGCCAGCUAGCGAUCUGCGGACGUUUUUUUUGUAGACUCCGCAGGAAGCUUCCGGGAAACCAAAGCAUUUGGGUUCCAGGGGAAGUAUGGUUGCAAAGCUGAAACUUAAAGGAAUUGACGGAAGGGCACCACCAGGAGUGGAGCCUGUGGCUUAAUUUGACUCAACACGGGAAAUCUCACCAGGCCCGGACACUGGAAGGAUUGACCGAUUGAUAGCUUCUUUCUGAAUCGGGUGGGUGGUGGU